CAAUAAGCGGAGGAAAAGAAACCAACAGGGAUUGCCCCAGUAACGGCGAGUGAAGCGGCAAGAGCUCAAAUUUGAAAUCUGGCUCCUUUCGGGGUCCGAGUUGUAAUUUGCAGAGGAUGCUUCGGGUGCGGUCCCCGUCUAAGUGCCCUGGAACGGGCCGUCAUAGAGGGUGAGAAUCCCGUCUGGGACGGGUGGCCGUGCCCGUGUGAAGCUCCUUCGACGAGUCGAGUUGUUUGGGAAUGCAGCUCUAAAUGGGUGGUAAAUUUCAUCUAAAGCUAAAUAUUGGCCGGAGACCGAUAGCGCACAAGUAGAGUGAUCGAAAGAUGAAAAGCACUUUGAAAAGAGAGUUAAACAGCACGUGAAAUUGUUGAAAGGGAAGCGCUUGCGACCAGACUCGCCCGCGGGGGUUCAGCCGGCACUCGGCCGGUGCACUCCCCCGUGGGCGGGCCAGCGUCGGUUUGGGCGGCCGGUCAAAGGCCCCCGGAAUGUGUCGCCUCUCGGGGCGUCUUAUAGCCGGGGGUGCAAUGCGGCCAGCCUGGACCGAGG
rnacentral:rRNA from 2 species